rnacentral:snoRNA from 1 species
UGCUGGCUGUUCCUCUCACUGCUUGGAGCCUUAGGUAGUGGGAUUUUAGUCCAUCAUAUAUCUAAGCUGACUUGUCUUCACUCAGAGCACAGUGGAGAUGGGUUCGUUGUCCAUUAGUGCCUUCUGAUUUUUGCAGAGUCAAACAAUU